GAAUGCCUUGGCAGACGCAGGCGAUGAAGGACGCGCCAUGCUGCGAAAAGCUCCGGGGAGUUGCAAGGAAACUUUGAU
rnacentral:rRNA from 1 species